AGAAAAAUUACGCUUUAAAAAAAACAAGUAACAUAAAUUGUAUCAUUUUAAAAGUGUACAGUUAAGGCCAUGCACGGUGGCUCUUGCCUGUAAUCCCAGCCAAGAAUAUUUUCAAAAGCUAUUAAUAUACUUGUUCUGCACAUAACCACUUCCAAUCUAUUAAAAGUAUGCGUUUGUGUAGGAAAGGCUUGUACUACAGCAGAAAUGCAGGAAGGGGGAAGAGAGAAGAGGACAGAAAGUUUACCUCAGGCUUUAUUCAGAGAAAAUUUAUUCUAAAUCCCUUUCACAUCAAUAAACAUAUUAAAAACAACAGGACUUGAUGGCAGAGUUUUAUAUAUUGUGUGUAAGGGCAGGCAGUACUAUUCUGACAGGAUGAGGACAGAGGGAAAGCCUGGAACAGAGGAAAACGGG
rnacentral:lncRNA from 10 species